GAUGAACGCUGGCGGCGUGCCUAAUACAUGCAAGUCGAGCGAACGGACGAGAAGCUUGCUUCUCUGAUGUUAGCGGCGGACGGGUGAGUAACACGUGGAUAACCUACCUAUAAGACUGGGAUAACUUCGGGAGACCGGAGCUAAUACCGGAUAAUAUUUUGAACCGCAUGGUUCAAAAGUGAAAGACGGUCUUGCUGUCACUUAUAGAUGGAUCCGCGCUGCAUUAGCUAGUUGGUAAGGUAACGGCUUACCAAGGCAACGAUGCAUAGCCGACCUGAGAGGGUGAUCGGCCACACUGGAACUGAGACACGGUCCAGACUCUUACGGGAGGCAGCAGUAGGGAAUCUUCCGCAAUGGGCGAAAGCCUGACGGAGCAACGCCGCGUGAGUGAUGAAGGUCUUCGGAUCGUAAAACUCUGUUAUUAGGGAAGAACAUAUGUGUAAGUAACUGUGCACAUCUUGACGGUACCUAAUCAGAAAGCCACGGCUAACUACGUGCCAGCAGCCGCGGUAAUGCGUAGGUGGCAAGCGUUAUCCGGAAUUAUUGGGCGUAAAGCGCGCGUAGGCGGUUUUUUAAGUCUGAUGUGAAAGCCCACGGCUCAACCCGGGGAGGGUCAUUGGAAACUGGAAAACUUGAGUGCAGAAGAGGAAAGUGGAAUUCCAUGUGUAGCGGUGAAAUGCGCAGAGAUAUGGAGGAACACCAAUGGCGAAGGCGACUUUCUGGUCUGUAACUGACGCUGAUGUGCGAAAGCGUGGGGAUCAAACAGGAUUAGAUACCCUGGUAGUCCACGCCGUAAACGAUGAGUGCUAAGUGUUAGGGGGUUUCCGCCCCUUAGUGCUGCAGCUAACGCAUUAAGCACUCCGCCUGGGGAGUACGACCGCGAGGUUGAAACUCAAAGGAAUUGACGGGGACCCGCACAAGCGGUGGAGCAUGUGGUUUAAUUCGAAGCAACGCGAAGAACCUUACCAAAUCUUGACAUCCUUUGACAACUCUAGAGAUAGAGCUUUCCCCUUCGGGGGACAAAGUGACAGGUGGUGCAUGGUUGUCGUCAGCUCGUGUCGUGAGAUGUUGGGUUAAGUCCCGCAACGAGCGCAACCCUUAAGCUUAGUUGCCAUCAUUAAGUUGGGCACUCUAAGUUGACUGCCGGUGACAAACCGGAGGAAGGUGGGGAUGACGUCAAAUCAUCAUGCCCCUUAUGAUUUGGGCUACACACGUGCUACAAUGGACAAUACAAAGGGCAGCGAAACCGCGAGGUCAAGCAAAUCCCAUAAAGUUGUUCUCAGUUCGGAUUGUAGUCUGCAACUCGACUACAUGAAGCUGGAAUCGCUAGUAAUCGUAGAUCAGCAUGCUACGGUGAAUACGUUCCCGGGUCU
rnacentral:rRNA from 1 species